ensembl:lncRNA
GCAGUGUUUUUGAACUGUACGAGGAGGACGCUGUGGGCGGAGGCUGUGGGCGGAGGCUGUGGGCGGAGGCUGUGGGCGGAGGCUGUGGGCGGAGGCUGUGGGCGGAGGCUGUGGGCGGAGGCUGUGGGCGGAGGCUGUGGGCGGAGGCUGUGGGCGGAGGCUGUGGGCGGAGGCUGUGGGCGGAGGCUGUGGGCGGAGGCUGUGGGCGGAGGCUGUGGGCGGAGGCUGUGGGCGGAGGCUGUGGGCGGAGGCUGUGGGCGGAGGCUGUGGGCGGAGGCUGUGGGCGGAGGCUGUGGGCGGAGGCUGUGGGCGGAGGCUGUGGGCGGAGGCUGUGGGCGGAGGCUGUGGGCGGAGGCUGUGGGCGGAGGCUGUGGGCGGAGGCUGUGGGCGGAGGCUGUGGGCGGAGGCUGUGGGCGGAGGCGGACGCUGUGGGCGGGGGCGGACGCUGUGGGCGGGGGCUGUGGGCGGGGGCGGACGCUGUGGGCGGGGGCGGACGCUGUGGGCGGAGGACGACGCUGUGGGCGGGGGCGGACGCGGGCUCUGUGGGCGGAGGCGGACGCUGUGGGCGGGGGCGGACGCUGUGGGCGGGGGCGGACGCUGUGGGCGGAGGCGGACGCUGUGGGCGGAGGCGGACGCUGUGGGCGGAGGCGGACGCUGUGGGCGGGGGCGGACGCUGUGGGCGGAGGACGACGCUGUGGGCUCUGUGGGCGGAGGCGGACGCUGUGGGCGGAGGAGGACGCUGUGGGCGGAGGAGGACGCUGUGGGCGGAGGAGGACGCUGUGGGCGGAGGAGGACGCUGUGGGCGGAGGAGGACGCUGUGGGCGGAGGAGGACGCUGUGGGCGGAGGAGGACGCUGUGGGCGGAGGAGGACGCUGUGGGCGGAGGAGGACGCUGUGGGCGGAGGCGGACGCUGUGGGCGGAGGCGGACGCUGUGGGCGGAGGAGGACGCUGUGGGCGGAGGAGGACGCUGUGGGCGGAGGAGGACGCUGUGGGCGGAGGAGGACGCUGUGGGCGGAGGAGGACGCUGUGGGCGGACGCUGUGGGCUCUGUGGGCGGACGCUGUGGGCUCUGUGGGCGGAGGAGGACGCUGUGGGCGGAGGAGGACGCUGUGGGCGGAGGAGGACGCUGUGGGCGGAGGAGGACGCUGUGGGCGGAGGAGGACGCUGUGGGCGGAGGAGGACGCUGUGGGCGGAGGCGGACGCUGUGGGCGGAGGCGGACGCUGUGGGCGGAGGUGGACGCUGUGGGCGGAGGCGGACGCUGUGGGCGGAGGCGGACGCUGUGGGCGGAGGCGGACGCUGUGGGCGGAGGCGGACGCUGUGGGCGGAGGAGGACGCUGUGGGCGGAGGCGGACGCUGUGGGCGGAGGAGGACACUGUGGGCGGGGGCGGGGGCUGUGGGCGGAGGAGGACACUGGGGGCGGAGGACACUGUGGGCGGGGGCGGGGGCUGUGGGCGGAGGAGGACACUGUGGGCGGGGGCUGUGGGCGGAGGAGGACACUGGGGGCGGAGGAGGACACUGGGGGCGGGGGCUGUGGGCGGAGGAGGACACUGGGGGCGGGGGCUGUGGGCGGAGGCGGACACUGUGGGCGGAGGAGGACGCUGUGGGCGGAGGAGGACGCUGUGGGCGGAGGCGGACGCUGUGGGCGGAGGCGGACGCUGUGGGCUCUGUGGGCUCUGUGGGUGGAGGAGGAUGCUGUGGGCUCUGUGGAUGGAGGAGGAGAGCAGCAUCAAUCUGUUGAAUAGUUGCUUUGGCUCACAGGUCAGGAGGAUAGGGUCACCUAUAGAUUCCGUCCCAUAUGGCUCCGGUCAAAUGUAG